UGUUCAGAUCUGCACCAAGUUCUACUAAUUAGGACUAAUUAGUGUGGAAUCUGUGGUGGUGGAAUAACAGCAGCAGCAGGCAGAUCUUGUUCACAACCAGGUGCAGCUCCACUGCAAUCCACCAAAGAGCAGAGCAACAAACAGCAGCCGUGUCUGUCAGAUCAAACUGCUGAAAGAGAGAAAGCCUUGAAAGCUCACCUUCAAAGAAGAGUCCACGAAGACCAAACUGUGCGACAUAUCAAUAAACAGAUAUGAUUAUA